AAAAUAAAGCGCCCUUCCUGCUGGGAAGCCACAGCCCGAGGAGUUUUCCAGGUCUUGCUGCUGAUGGAACCCCGAGGGGGGCAGGAGGUGGUUUUCAUCCAUCAGUGCAGGAAUUGCUGUUGUGAUGGGAGCUCUGCAUCCCCCAGCACACAGACACGGAUCUUCAUGGAUCUCUGUAGAACAGAUCCCUGCACGGCGACCAUCGCUUCCUGCUGCCCAAUCUCUCCUCUUUACCGGUGUCCAGCAGGAGAUCGCGGAGCUCUGCAGACAGGGCUGCACCCUGGACGUCAUCUGAAGCUUCUCCCACCAGAAUCGUGCGAUUCUAUGAGCAUUGGAAGGGAUCAGGGUGCUGUGCAUCAGCUCUCCCACAAACCAGCCAUCCUCAUCCGUGUCUCCAAGGAGACAAAUGCUUUCUUCAGCCCAGCCCAGCAGCCCGGCUCGUUGUCUUGAGUUCUCAUUAGGGCCUGAAAAGGAUUGUUGCUACAACAAGAUAAGAACCUUGGAACUAUUGGAGAUUGCAGGUUGCUGAUGACCAUCUCUCGCAUAGGGUGUAAAGGAAGGGCUCUCAGGCAACGUGAACACAGCAGACCUUUUGGGAAGUGUCCCUGCGGUGCUUCCACACUGACGGACACCUCAAGUCCACCCUGCAAGCUGCAGCUCCUGGCUCUUCAGCUCUGGCUUUUGAAAGGAAGAGAUGCAUGCUCACCUCAGUUUCUCUUAACCAGCUCUUAUAUCCUUGCUGCUGGAUACCUGGAGGGCGUUCACCGUAAUGGAACAAAAACAGAGUCCUUCCUCACAGGCGCCUGCAGACUUUGCGUACCAAAACUGUGUAUAGAGUGGAGAGUGGGGGUUCUCAGGCAGCAUGAACUCCACAAACCUUUUGGGAAGCAUUGGGGGGACACCAGGAAGGCGGUACGGGACGGAGCUCUCGUGAAGAAUCUUCCUGAGCAGAAAGAAAUUAACGCCCGAGCUGCAGUGCAGUAUGAAUGCAUGAUCUGGCUUUCAUUUCAAGACCACGUGAACAGCAUCAAGCUCGGAAUUAUGGCGGUUACAGCAGCUUGUGAAGAGCUGAAGGAGACUGAAGGGUUUGGGAAGCUUUUAGGUGUUCCUUGGAAACGAUGCAACUGUUGGCAGCAGAAAUGAGCAGCCCCGUGGUUUUAACAAGAACCUCGUGGUUCUUUGCAAGGUUACAGACAUGAAAU